rnacentral:rRNA from 1 species
UACGAAGGGUGCAAGCGUUACUCGGAAUUACUGGGCGUAAAGCGUCCGUAGGUGGUUCGUUAAGUCUGAUGUGAAAGCCCUGGGCUCAACCUGGGAACUGCAUUGGAUACUGGCGGUCUAGAGUGCGGUAGAGGGUGGCGGAAUUCCCGGUGUAGCAGUGAAAUGCGUAGAUAUCGGGAGGAACAUCCGUGGCGAAGGCGGCCACCUGGACCAGCACUGACACUGAGGCACGAAAGCGUGGGGAGCAAACAGG